GGCUCAGAUUGAACGCUGGCGGAUGCUUUACACAUGCAAGUCGAACGGCAGCACGGACUUCGGUCUGGUGGCGAGUGGCGAACGGGUGAGUAAUGUAUCGGAACGUGCCUAGUAGCGGGGGAUAAUUCACACGAAAGCGUAAAGCAUUUACCGCAUAUUGCCCUUCGGGGGAAAGUGGGGUAUUCCCGGGCCUCGCACUAUUAGAGCGGCCGAUAUCGGAUUAGCUAGCUGGUGGGGUAACGGCUCACCAAGGCGACGAUCCGUAGCUGGUUUGAGAGGACGACCAGCCACACUGGGAUCGACACGGCCCAGACUCCUACGGGAGGCAGCAGUGGGGAAUUUUGGACAAUGGGGGAAACCCUGAUCCAGCCAUCCCGCGUGCGAUGAAGGCCUUCGGGUUGUAAAGCACUUUGGCAGGAAAGAAACCAGGCCCGGAUAUACUCCCUGUGCAACUGACGGUACCUGCAGAAUAAGCACCGGCUAACUACGCCAGCAGCCGCGGUAAUACGUAGGGUGUGUGCGUUAAUUCCGGAAUUACUGGGCGUAAAAGCGUGCGCAGGCGGUUCGGUGUUGUUACUGGGAAACUUUAUUAACUUUGAACGGUAUUUUUAACUACUGAGCUAGGAGUGUGUCAGAGGGAGGUGGAAUUCCGCGUGUAGCAGUGAAAUGCGUAGAGGUGCGGAGGAACACCUGGAUGGCGAAGGCAGCCUCCUGGGAUAACACUGACGCUCAUGCACGAAAGCGUGGGGAGCAAACAGGAUUAGAUACCCUGGUGAACCGCCCUAAACGAUGUCAACUAGCUGCUGGGGCCUUCGGGCCCGGUAGCGCAGUUAACGCGUGAAGUUGACCGCCUGGGGAGUACGGUCGCAAGAUUAAAACUCAAAGGAAUUGACGGGACCCGCAGCGCGGUGGAUGAUGUGGAUUAAUUCGAUGCAACGCGAAAAGCCUUACCUACCCUGACAUGUCUGGAAUCCCGAAGAGAUUUGGGAGUGCUCGCAAGAGAACCGGAACACAGGUGCUGCAUGGCUGUCGUCAGCUCGUCGAGAUGUUGGGUUAAGUCUCGCAACGAGCGGCAACCCUUGUCAUUAGUUACGAAAGGGCACUUUAAUGGAGACUGCCGGUGACAAACCGAGGAAGCGUGGAUGACGUCAAGUCCUCAUGGCCCUUGCGGUAGGGUCACAUCAUCAUACAAUGGUCGGGACAGAGGGUCGCCAACCCGCGAGGGGGAGCCAAUCCCAGAAACCUGAUCGUAGUCCGGAUCGCAGUCUGCAACAACUCGACUGCGUGAAGUCGGAACUGCUAGUAAUCGCGGAUCAGCAUGUCGCGGUGAAUACGUUCCCGGGUCUUGUACACACUGCCCGUCAGCACCAUGGGAAGGCUUUAUCAUAUGCUAGCUCAACCGCAAGGAGGGCGAUUACCACGGUAGGACUCAUGACUGGGGUGAAGUCGUAACAAGGUAA
rnacentral:rRNA from 1 species